AAUAUUGGACAAUGGGGGCAACCCUGAUCCAGCCAUGCCGCGUGUGUGAAGAAGGUCUNCGGAUUNUNAAGCACAUUAAGUUGGGNGGAAGGGCUUUAGGUUAAUACCCUGAACUUUUGACGUUACCAACAGAAUAAGCACCGGCUAACUCUGUGCCAGCAGCCGCGGUAAGACAGCGGGUGCAGGCGUUAAUCGGAAUUACUGUGCGUAAAGCGCGCGUAGGUGGUUCAGUAAGAUGGGUGUGCAAUCCCCGGGCUUAACCUGGGAACUGCUUUCAUAACUGCUGAGCUAGAGUGCGGUAGAGGGUAGUGGAAUUUCCUGUGUAGCGAUGAAAUGCGUAGAUAUAGGCAGGAACACCAGUGGCGAAGGCAACUACCUGGACUGAUACUGACACUGAGGUGCGAAAGCGUGGGGAGCAAAC
rnacentral:rRNA from 1 species